UUAUUUACAGGUAUGUGCUUAUGAACAUAUCUUUUAAAAUAUGUUUAUUUAUUUUUUUAUAUCAAUUCAAUGAUUUCUGGUUGAUUAAUGCAUUUUACUUGUGAUUUAUUUAUUUAUCUUGAUAUGAUAAUUGGCUUUGUGUUUGGGAAAAUCAAUCUAAGCUUCAUAAUUUAACAUAGCAAUAGCCUUCUUUUGAACCCUACAAAUAAAUUUAUCAAAAAUUUAGAAAUUGAAAAUUAUG
rnacentral:lncRNA from 1 species